UACGUAGGGGGCAAGCGUUGUCCGGAAUCAUUGGGCGUAAAGAGCGUGUAGGCGGCCCGGUAAGUCCGCUGUGAAAGUCCAGGGCUCAACCCUGGGAUGCCGGUGGAUACUGUCGGGCUCGAGUCCGGAAGAGGAGUGUGGAAUUCCUGGUGUAGCGGUGAAAUGCGCAGAUAUCGAGGAGGAACACCAAUUGCGAAGGCAGCUCGCUGGGACGUUACUGACGCUGAGACGCGAAAGCGUGGGAGC
rnacentral:rRNA from 1 species